CUGACCCCUUGUACCCCAAAACCCGUUGGAAAAAUCCAUUACUUACCGCCAUAUUGUGUGCCCCGCCAAAGACGACGUUCUUCAUGAUUCCGAUAAAAGCAAUAGCCUAGCAGUGGACUUCGCUAAGCUAAAGGUGCAGUAGAGCAGUGGGAUGCUCCAAUGUUACCGUGUUAUCAAAAGCAUUGACUAAGCUAAGCUGAAUGCUUCAGCUGACGAAGAAACGUCUGCAGUCCUCCAAAGCCAAGAGAUGUCUGGCAAGAGCGGUGAACCACUACGGAGAAGUCCCCACAAGCUGGGGAACAUUUCAGGACCUAGCAUCAGCAACCACUAAGUUCGUUGUCACACAAAACUUUUUAUAUGAAGUGACUAGACAGUACUCAACAUUUUUAUCUGCCUUCUACUCUCCAAUUUCCCUUCGAAAUGACUAAAACUACGACAAAGUAUCAAUAAUAAUAUUCAGCGACUGAAGCUCUCGUCCAGAGUUUCCCUGUAACAUGGGUCGAGAAGUCCCUAUGUCCUCCUCCUAGGGUUCCCUACACGUGGGGACUUCUAGAACGUUCGAUUGGAAUGCUACGAACGAAGGCUUGCGACGGGGCUACAGAGAGAAAACGAGGACGGAAAUGCAUUCUUUUUAUUGAAAAUAUCACUUGGUUUGGAACUAAUACAGCCCACCUCGAAAGACCAAUAUGCAUUUCUAGCCCCAUAUAAGGCACAGAAGACGCCCCAUGCUUCGAAAACGCGGGAACGCUGUAAGCCUACUUACGAAAGACGAAUUUCUGGCGUACUUCGUGGUCUGCUUUUGUGUUAGCACGUUCUGGCCCGCCAGAUCCUGGGUGUCACGACUAUUGCUCUGUUUAUAAUAAACUUACGAGCUGGGUUUC